rnacentral:misc_RNA from 1 species
AGUGCUGUAGCAUAUUCUUCCGGUGACCCAAGGGGAACAAGUCUGGAUUUUGGUAUACCAAUUUCCUCCAAAUACCUUUCUGCAAAAGAACCAACUUGGUACCCAAUUGGUUCAUCAGUUUCUUUCAAGCUCUCAAUACCUUUAAUAGGAGAAUAUAAUUGUUGCACAGUGAGGAUGGAGGUCAAACUUGCUGUGUAACUUGAAUUUAUUAUCAAAACGACAAAGAGCCAUAUGAUCAGCACCAUGCGACCAAGCGUACUUACAGUAUUCUCUCUGUGGGCAAAAAAGAGAGUUGAAAGGCUGAACCAUAGAAUGGUUAUCAACUGCUGUUUGGGAGGCCCACGAAAUUCAUCAUUGAUUCGGUGCUCCAAAAUCCACACUACCAUCCCAACAAAGAGAAAGAAAAUAGUGAUAACUCCCCACAUUUGAGCAGAAAAGGGUCUUAGGAAGGCCCAGCCACCGGAAUUUAGCUUUUCGAAUGGGGCCACAACAACAAGUCCAGAUGCGGCAUAUGGCUGUGUG